rnacentral:rRNA from 1 species
GACGAACGCUGGCGGCGUGCUUAACACAUGCAAGUCGUACGGUAAGGCCCUUUCGGGGGUACACGAGUGGCGCACGGGUGCGUAACACGUGAGUAACCUGCCCACAACUUUGGGAUAACGCUAGGAAACUGGUGCUAAUACUGGAUAUGUGCUCCUGCUGCAUGGUGGGGGUUGGAAAGCUCCGGCGGUUGUGGAUGGGCUCGCGGCCUAUCAGCUUGUUGGUGGGGUAGUGGCCUACCAAGGCGGCGACGGGUAGCCGGCCUGAGAGGGUGACCGGCCACAUUGGGACUGAGAUACGGCCCAGACUCCUACGGGAGGCAGCAGUGGGGAAUAUUGCACAAUGGGCGCAAGCCUGAUGCAGCAACGCCGCGUGCGGGAUGACGGCCUUCGGGUUGUAAACCGCUUUCAGCAGGGACGAAGCUUUUUGUGACGGUACCUGCAGAAGAAGCACCGGCUAACUACGUG